GAUGAACGCUGGCGGCGUGCCUAAUACAUGCAAGUCGAGCGAAUGGAUUAAGAGCUUGCUCUUAUGAAGUUAGCGGCGGACGGGUGAGUAACACGUGGGUAACCUGCCCAUAAGACUGGGAUAACUCCGGGAAACCGGGGCUAAUACCGGAUAAUAUUUUGAACUGCAUGGUUCAAAAUUGAAAGGCGGCUUCGGCUGUCACUUAUGGAUGGACCCGCGUCGCAUUAGCUAGUUGGUGAGGUAACGGCUCACCAAGGCCACGAUGCGUAGCCGACCUGAGAGGGUGCUCGGCCACACUGGGAACGAGACACGGACCAGACUCCGACGGGAGGCAGCAGUAGGGAAUCUUCCGCAAUGGACGAAAGUCUGACGGAGCAACGCCGCGUGAGUGAUGAAGGCUUUCGGGUCGUAAAACUCUGUUGUUAGGGAAGAACAAGUGCUAGUUGAAUAAGCUGGCACCUUGACGGUACCUAACCAGAAAGCCACGGCUAACUACGUGCCAGCCGCCGCGGUAA
rnacentral:rRNA from 1 species